UGCUAAGACUGGAUAGGAAACAAAAAGGCAUCUUUUUGUUUUUAAAAGACCUUCUUACGAAGGUAUGCUUAAAGAGGGGCUUGCGCCACAUUAGUUAGUUGGUAGGGUAAAAGCCUACCAAGACGAUGAUGUGUAGCUGGACUGAGAGGUUGAACAGCCACAUUGGGACUGAGACACGGCCCAAACUCCUACGGGAGGCAGCAGUAGGGAAUUUUCGGCAAUGGAGGAAACUCUGACCGAGCAACGCCGCGUGAACGAUGAAGUAUUUCGGUAUGUAAAGUUCUUUUAUUGAAGAAGAAAAAGUAGUGGAAAAACUAUAUUGACGUUAUUCAAUGAAUAAGCCCCGGCUAACUAUGUGCCAGCAGCCGCGGUAAGACAUAGGGGGCGAGCGUUAUCCGGAAUUAUUGGGCGUAAAGGGUGCGUAGGCUGUUAGAUAAGUCUAUAAUUUAAUUUCAGUGCUUAACGCUGUCUUGUUAUAGAAACUGUCUUGACUAGAGUGAGAUAGAGGCAAGCGGAAUUCCAUGUGUAGCGGUAAAAUGUGUAAAUAUAUGGAGGAACACCAGAAGCGUAGGCGGCUUGCUGGGUCUUUACUGACGCUGAGGCACGAAAGCGUGGGUAGCAAACAGGAUUAGAUACCCUGGUAGUCCACGCCGUAAACGAUGAGUACUAAGUGUCGGGGUAAAACUCGGUACUGAAGUUAACACAUUAAGUACUCCGCCUGAGUAGUACGUACGCAAGUAUGAAACUUAAAGGAAUUGACGGGACUCCGCACAAGCGGUGGAUCAUGUUGUUUAAUUCGAAGAUACACGAAAAAUCUUACCAGGUCUUGACAUACUCUGCAAAGCUAUAGAAAUAUAGUGGAGGUUAUCAGGGAUACAGGUGGUGCAUGGUUGUCGUCAGUUCGUGUCGUGAGAUGUUAGGUUAAGUCCUAAAACGAGCGCAACCCUUGUCGUUAAUUGCCAGCACGUAAUGGUGGGGACUUUAGCGAGACUGCCAAUUAAACAUUGGAGGAAGGUGAGGAUUACGUCAAAUCAUCAUGCCCCUUAUGAUCUGGGCUACAAACGUGAUACAAUGGCUGUGACAAAGAGUAGCUGAAACGCGAGUUUUUAGCCAAUCUCAAAAAAGCAGUCUCAGUUCGGAUUGAAGUCUGUAACUCGACUUCAUGAAGUUGGAAUCGCUAGUAAUCGCGAAUCAGCAUGUCGCGGUGAAUACGUUCUCGGGGUUUGUACACACCGCCCGU
rnacentral:rRNA from 1 species